CUGGGGAGAUGGCUUCCUCUGGUUCUCAGAAACUGGAAGAGAAAUUAAUAUGUUGCAUUUGUCUGGAGAUGUUUUCCACCCCUGUGACCGUGCCUUGCGGGCACAGUUUUUGUGAAAAGUGUAUCAGCAGCCACUGGGACAAAGAGGAACAAGGACUCAACGGCCAGAAAGUCUGCACCUGCCCUGAAUGCCGAAAAAGCUUCCCAGAGAGGCCCAAGCUCAGCAAAGCCGUCCAACUUGACAGUCUGGUAGAUCUACUGAAAUUGGAAGCAGUGCCCCGGUUUGAGAUGGGGAAGGCAGGUGACGCUCAGGCGAGGAAGUGCCCGAGGCACGGCCGGCCCUUGGAGCUUUACUGCGUGGCUGAGAAACGCUGCAUCUGCUGCGUGUGCACCGUGAGGAGCUGCCAGAAGCACAAGAGGACUCUCUUUGAAGAGGAGCGGAAAGCGAAAGAAGAGUCAAUAAAGGAAACCUUGGAGGAAAAGCAAAAGGAGGUAGAAAAGAUUGUAACAGAAAUCCAGAAACUGGAGCAGCAGAUGGACCAUACUAAAGUUUUCUCAACGAAGUUCAGAUUAGGAAUUUUGCAGAAGUUUGACCAUCUCAUGGAAACCCUAAAAGAGUGCCAGAAGAAGGUGGUGGAGAGGGUUGAAAGUGAGCAUGCCACUCUGCUAAAGCAAAUGGAGGAGAACUGGAAUUGCCUACAGCAUCAUUUGGAGACUUUCACACAGUACAACAAGACAGUGGAAGGGCUGCUGAGCUGUGCUGAUGAUGUCAGGUUUCUUGAACAACAUCUCCUUUCUCCCCCUUGUAAAUUGGAAGUUCCUCCAGUCAUUCAACUUGAUUUGGAUACCAACGCACACACCAUCACUGAGUUCUUCAGUGAGUUUGACAGGCUUUUGGAGGAACUUCAGUCAAAUCCUUUGAAUCCACAAAUGACUGACAGAAAAAUCUCGCUUGAGCCAAAGGUGUUUGUGAAGAGGAUGCCUGGACCUUGUCUUUCAGAGAAUGAACUAAGGACAAAGCUUCUACAGGAUCAGCAGAAUUUGACAUUUGAUCCAGUCUCAGCUAACAAAUACCUGCAGUUAUCUGAUAACCACCAGAAGGCAACUCAUCCCCAGGGUUUUCACAAGCCAAAGCCAAAUGACCCUCAAAGGUUUGAGCCAUGGCAAGUCAAGUGUACUCAGACCUUCAGCCAAGGCAGUCACUACUGGGAAGUGGAGUUAUCUGACCACUCUGUCAUCAUUGGCGUAGCUUGUGAAAGAUUCCCAAGGAGGAAACAGGCUCAUCAGAAGUUCACCAUUGGGUUGGAUAAACUCUCCUGGGGCCUGCAUGUCCAAGAAGACAGCUAUGUGGCUUGGUACAACAAGAAGUCUACAAAGAUAAAAGAGCCUCUGUGCAAAUUUAUUGGAGUUCUAUUGGACUGUGAUCAAGGAGUUUUAUCCUUUUACAGCAUAGACAAUAACAUGAAAUGCCUUCAUAUUUUUCACACCACCUUUACAGAGCCUCUUGUCCCAAUUUUCUGGCUUUGUGAAGGUACAGCUGUGACCCUUUGCCAAAGGCCACCCAGCCAGAUUAUAACUGAUGAGAGGUCACCUGAUUUAUAGGCAAAGGCAGCCCCUGUGGAAAAACUCUGAGGCAAGCAAAUAACUCUGGAACGUUAAAAAGAGGUUCUAAGCUACUUGACUACACAGAGACAAAUCUUGUAUUUCUGUCUUCUAUAGCUCCCUCGUGAGUUGCGAGACCUCCUUGCCCUUCCAGACAAAGAUGCAGCUAGAUGCUAAUGCAGCACAGAACCUGAUGCACAUGAUUUUGGUGCUAAAUAGAGCUAUCUGGUGAUCUACAAAAAUUAAGACAUGAAUAUGAAUAAAGAAACAGGGUAAACAAGAGGAUAAUCAACUUUUAGUUGGGAAAUUGUCAUAGCCAAUAGAGAACCAAGUUGGCAGAAAGAAAAUCGCAUAUACUGUAGUGUUGAGAAUUUACCCUAGACAAAUCACUGUUCACACACACUCUGCAGUCACUUCGUUGUGAAAGAAUAUUGUGAAACUGUAAGUACAUAUAGUUUCUCAUGAGUGACUAGGUAGUAGCCAUUUCUUAAGAAUGCACAUUCCAGAAGGCAAUUUUUAAAAUUUAUUUCUCUACCCCUUUUUUCUAUUAGAAGAGACUAGAGCAUUUUACAAAAGAACCAAAACAAUAUUUUAAAAACUUACAUCAAUAAAACCAUUGAUAGCAGAACAGAAUUAUAAAAAUACAAGCAUUAAUGUUCAUUUUUAAAAGGCAGUUUAAAAGGUAGUCUAGG